GCCGCGUCGGUAGUGCUCCUUGGAGUUGUCGCUCGCAAUCCUCGGUUUCUCUUCCGUGAUGGCAGUUGUCCACAACCGGACCUCCCCUGGGUCACGCCGCCCCUGCCGCCUACACCCACUGCCGCGCCGCACGCCGCUGGAUCUCCACCCCCACCCUCCCCGCUCCACUAGAUCCCCGCACGCCGCACCACCCCCGGCCAUGGGCGCUGGCUACCCGCCUCCCCCUCCACCAGCUCCCCCGGAUCCCCGCACCACCCGGCCAUGGCGAUGGCUGCUCCCCCCGCUGGGAAUCCCCGCUCCUCCGGCCAUGAAGGGCUCCUCUAGCUCCGGUCGUGCACUCCAGCACCGACAGCCACGGUCGUACUCGUGUAAUUCAACAGCGACCCCACCAUCGGAUGGGCGGCCAUGGCAUGCCGACAUGCCGUCCCAGCGCAAGUCCUUUUCUCUGUAUCUUGACCCCGGACCAUUUUUCCUGUAUCUUCAAAUUGGCUCUCUCCCCUCUCUUUUUUGGAUUUCACGCUUCUCUUUCCUCUUCAACUGUUCGUGACCUUCCUCCCAGGUCUGCUUCCGCAUUUUUGGUUGGUGAAGCAUACCAUCGUUCUUUGUUUCAAUCCAAAUCAGACAUGGGUCGGUCUCGCGCGCGAGCACGGCAGCCCCUGAGCAACAUUUCGAUGCUCGCACUUCCUAGGAACCAGGAGCCCCACGACCGCUUCCCUUUCUUCAGCUCGCUGCCGAGCGUCUCCAGCCAAGACGUGACAUUGAGAGAUGGCCAUGGCCGCCCGAUGUCGGAGCGCCGCCGGCCAAGGACCCGCCGGCAUCUAGACCCCCUCCACGCCAUCUCCAUCUCACCGGAGACCUGCACCAAGUCCCAUCCAGCGCCUUCGCCACCCUUCGGCCCCCGCCCCGUAGCUCUGCAGCCCGAGCGCUUCAACCGACUUGUGCCUGAAGCAGAGGAGAGGAGCUCCCUGCCACGAGCCUCUCCGGCGUUGGCAAACCAGCAGGCUGACCCCGCCUCCUACCUUUUUUUCCGCCGCGACGCAUCACCCCUUCGCUGUCUCCUACGGCGUGGACGCCGACGGCAAGUGGUGGCCGGUACCCGGCGGUGGAGAACGCGGUGAAGCAGUUUAAUUAAGGAUCGCGGGUAGGAUUGUAACUAAUGCAGGGUUGUUUUUGUAAAAAUGAAGCAUUUUCUGAUAUACCCACUUAAAAUAGGAUGGCGGGUUGAAUUCUAAUAAAUGGAGGGACUUUUCUGCAAAAAGGCUGACGACGUACGGGCAGAAACCCAUUUUUGUUUAUUAUUAGGUAAAGAUAUACAUGUUAUUCUUCUGUAGACACCCAUUUUUGUUUAUUAUUAGGUAAAGAUAUACAUGUUAUUCUUCUGUAGAUAGAGCAAAUCACACGGUUUAUUAGCAACAAUCGUUUGUGUUAUUAUUGGUCUUCGCACACAUUUCUGAUUACGGACCUGUUUGCCGUGUAUCGCAC
rnacentral:rRNA from 1 species